rnacentral:rRNA from 1 species
AUGAUAGAUGUGAAGUUCCGGUCUAUCUCGGCUGAGCAUGUCGGGUUGGUGGAGGAGACCAAGAUGCUUCGCACUGAGCUUCACGACUGCCUUGCGCGUGCCGACAGUGUUUUGGGGAGGGCGGAGGCCCCUCUUGCCAAACUAGAUGUGGUGUCGGAUGUGUCUUCGCUGCCUGAGCUUCAGAUUGGGGUUGUGCCUGAUGUGUCCCUACUGCCCGAGAUCCAGGUUGACUCUGUCGAUGGGGAAUGUGGCAUGUAUGGAGAUCUCUCCCCUCGUGCUACAGCCUGUCAGUUGCCGCUGACUGUCAUGCCGAUUCCUUCCGGGAGCAAAGUCAUUGUUGAGGUCGUGACUCCGGUGCUGCGGAUUAUGCCUGAGCUUCAGAAGCUUUGUGGGGAGCCCACUUUGCCUAUUUUGAUGGUGCUUUCUGAGGAGAUAGGGUCUCUUGGAGGGGACUUGGCGAUGCCAACUGCGACCUCAUCGUUUUCAUUGGAGCCGAGUCAGCCGCUUGCCUUUGUGGACCUUGGAGGUUUGGCGGCUGCUGCUGCUCUCUCACCUGAGGUUGUUGGCCCGGUGGCGUCUGUUGGUGCUGAGUUUGAUGAGGUAGGUGCUUUGAGACAUGUUUCUAAGGCGCCAAAGCCCGUCCAGUCUCUCAUCUUUGACCGCGACGCUAUGUUGGCACGUAUUGACGAGGUGGUCUUCGCGAAAAAGCUUGGCCGCUUGCUCACCGGCUUGGGACCAGCUUGUCCUGGGUCUACCAAGACGAUUGCUUGCCUCCUAGCGGAGGAGGUUUCUACGGGCAAAAUGAAGAAGGUGAAGAAGGCUAUCAGGAGCAUAGGCAAGAAGACUGACGUCAUUAGGAAGGCGUCCGCGGCUGCUUAA